rnacentral:rRNA from 1 species
CCUACGGGUGGCAGCAGUGAGCAAUAUUGGUCAAUGGCCGGAAGGCUGAACCAGCCAUGCCGCGUGAAGGUCAGUGCACUAUGGGCGUUAAACUUCUUUUGUGCGGGAGCAAUAAUGGUCACGUGUGGCCAGACGAGAGUACCGUACGAAUAAGCAUCGGCUAACUCCGUGCCAGCAGCCGCGGUAAUACGGGGGAUGCAAGCGUUAUCCGGAUUUAUUGGGUUUAAAGGGUGCGUAGGCUGUGAGGUAAGUCAGCGGUGAAAUGCCCACGCUCAACGGGGUGAAGUGCCAUUGAUACUGCCUUGCUGGAAUGCGGAUGCCGUGGGAGGAAUGUGUGGUGUAGCGGUGAAAUGCAUAGAUAUCACACAGAACACCGAUUGCGAAGGCAGCUCACGAAUCCGCGAUUGACGCUGAUGCACGAAAGCGUGGGUAUCAAACAGGAUUAGAUACCCCUGUAGUC